rnacentral:rRNA from 1 species
GACGAACGCUGGCGGCGUGCUUAACACAUGCAAGUCGAGCGGUAAGGCCCUUUCGGGGUACGACGAGCGGCGAACGGGUGAGUAACACGUGGGUGACCUGCCCUCCAGCUCUGGGAGUAAGCCCGGGGAAACCGUAGGGUCGUAAUACUGGAUAUGACUCCACGGUGCAUGCCGUGGGGUGGAAAGCCUUGUGCGGCUGAGGAUGGGCCCGCGGCCUAUCAGCUUGUUGGUGGGGUGAUGGCCUACCAAGGCGACGACGGGUAG